rnacentral:tRNA from 1 species
GGUUCCACAGAGUAAUAGUUAUCAUGUCUGCUUUACACACAGAAGAUCCUGGGUUUGAGCCCCAGUGGAACCA